GUGCAUGAAGGAUAGGAGCGGCAUCCUUUUAUGAAGCGGUAGCGUAAUAAAAGAUAUAGCGUAUAGCCUGACCGUGC
rnacentral:sRNA from 1 species